ACACAUAUCCUAGCUAUUUAUGGUGCAUAUCUUAACAGGGCCACGGUGAUUCUUGAGUGACAACUAGAAAUGAUGGCAAGCAAUUGGCACCUUGUAAGAUAGGAACACGUUUCAACGUAGUUGUUGGGUGGUCAAUAUACAUGUUUGCUAGAACUGUCAUUGGCUGUUCCUGUCUGGGUGAAAUUGUAUCGCUACUAUCCUCUUAUGUUGUACUUGAUGCGACUCGCUAUUUUCUCACAAGAAAGUAAUAUUUUAUAUUUCUCUUUUUAUUAUUGUGGUUCAUCUUCUGAAUAUCUGGUUUUGUAUGGACAUACUUUAUUUUGACAUGCAACAUGUGCCCUUGCAAUAAGUGAAAUUGACUUUUGUUUAAAUUAUUUUGAGUUAGCUUGAUGAUGUGGGAAAGCAAAAAUUUUUAAAAUAGAAAAAAAUAAAAAGAAAAGAAAAAAAUAGAAAACUUGAAAUGGUUAUGUAAGGCGGACACCUUAACAAAAAUUGGUAGAAGAUUGAAAUCCUGGUUGUUUUACCUAUAUGUUAUAAAUGGUGUUACAUUGAUGGUCCUUCUGGCGAGUCCAUAAAUGAAAGCUAAAGCUUCCUUUGUUUUUCCCUAACUAAUCAAGUUUCACUUUA
rnacentral:misc_RNA from 1 species